GGGAGGUGGAGGUGGUGAGGGUGACUUUACAGGAAGAGAUUCUGACCAAAAAGCGUCCGGGGGGACGACGGUCAGUUUGCAGAGAGCUGCUCUCAGUCUGACAUGAGCUGCUGUGUUAUGUAAGUGUAACAUGGUGGAGGAGAGGUGGAGGAGCGGCCUGCUUCAUACAACACGCUCCGAACAUGUCGCCUUCUCCUCCACGUGUCACCUUCACACUCUCAUACAACAGACAAACAGCUGACGGACCAACACGACACUCAGAGCGUCACAGACGUCUCCGGGACAAACAAAGACGAUCAUGUCGUCAUGUUUAAUAUUUGCCAAAUUAACCAGAAGGCCCAAAUAAUGAAGAAUGAGUCAGAGACAGAGUCUCACAACGUUCUAAAGUUUGUUUUAACUCAACAACUCUUAAAAUUGCCACAUUUGUUAAUGGAGUCUGGUUUGUGUUCACAAACAUGAGCUACUUCUUUGUCCCCAGACUCCGUUAACAAACGUCUCAGUUUGGUGGCGUCCUGGUUGAAGCUGAUCCAGGUUCAGCCUCCUGUGUUCGUCCUCGUCAGUGUGACGGGCAGCAGCUGGUCUGAGGGAGGUUAUAAAACCUGCAGCAGGUCGGAGAACACAGAACACGAGUGUGUGUGUAGCUGUGUGAACGGGCUGUACAGAUCAUUCACAGUCCCAAAGUUCACUUCAUCGUAAUCCUGACAAACAGACAGAGCUCUCUUUCAGACGGGAUUACAUCAUUGUCUGAGAAACCCAAAAUAAAACUGGUUUAAAGGUUCCCGUGAGCUUUCUGGAGACCGAACAUGUCUGCACGCUUUAAUGUGGACUCAACACAUCCAGAUGAAGGCCCGGUCCACAUGAACGAUUAAAGGAACCAGAAUACAAGAAAACUCUAGUAGGGCAGAACCUCCAGAACCUCACUGGAUUGUCCCAUCCACACUUUAAAUGCUUUGUACGCUCACGUACA